rnacentral:rRNA from 1 species
AGUGGAUGGGGAGCAACCUAGUUGUGCGUGUGUAAAGGUAGUGCCAAGAAAAGCGAUGAUCAUGUUGAAAAUCAAUUCCCGGUACCCGAAACCGACACAGGUGGGCAAGUAGAGAAUACUAAGGGGCGCGAGGUAACUCUCUCCAAGGAACUCGGCAAAAUGACCCCGUAACUUAGGGAGAAGGGGUGCCACCGAGAGGUGGUCGCAGUGAAGAGGCCCAGGCGACUGUUUAGCAAAAACAUAGGUCUCUGCAAACUCGAAAGAGGAGGUAUAGGGGCUGACGCCUGCCCAGUGCCGGAAGGUUAAAGAAGUUGGUCAGUUUUAGGAUGAAGCUAGCGACUGAAGCCCCGGUGAACGGCGGCCGUAACUAUAACGGUCCUAAGGUAGCGAAAUUCCUUGUCGGGUAAGUUCCGACCCGCACGAAAGGCGUAACGAUCUGGGCGCUGUCUCGGAGAGAGGCUCGGCGAAAUAGGAUUGUCUGUGAAGAUACGGACUACCUGCAUUUGGACAGAAAGACCCUAUGGAGCUUUACUAUAGCUUGGAAUUGUGUUCGGGCUUCCUGUGCGCAGGAUAGGUGGGAGGCGUAGAAGGUAUUCUUGUGGGGAUACUGGAGCCAACGGUGAGAUACCACUCUCAGGAGGCUAGAAUUCUAACUUAAUUAAGGACAGUUUCAGGUGGGUAGUUUGACUGGGGCGGUCGCCUCCAAAAAGGUAACGAGGCGUACAAAGGUUCCCUCAGACUGGUUGGAAAUCAGUCGAAGAGUGCAAAGGCAGAAGGGAGCUUGACUGCGAGAAGUACAGUUCGAGCAGGGUGGAAACACGGUCUUAGUGAUCCGACGGUGCUGUGUGGAAGGGCCGUCGCUCAACGGAUAAAAGUUACUCUAAGGAUAACAGGCUGAUCUCCCCCAAGAGUUCACAUCGACGGGGAGGUUUGGCACCUCGAUGUCGGCUCAUCGCAACCUGGGGCGGAAGUACGUCCCAAGGGUUGGGCUGUUCGCCCAUUAAAGCGGUACGUGAGCUGGGUUCAGAACGUCGUGAGACAGUUCGGUCCAUAUCCGAUGUAGGCGUGAGAAUAUUGAGAGGAGCCUUCCUUAGUACGAGAGGACCGGGAAGGACGCACCGCUGGUGUACCUGUUAUGAUGCCAAUUGUAAACGCAGGGUAGCCAAGUGCGGAGAGGAUAACCGCUGAAAGCAUCUAAGUGGGAAGCCCACCUCAAGAUGAGUAUUCUGGUGUAAGGUCACGGGAAGACGACCCGUAAAUAGGCACGAGGUGGAAGUGCAGAGAUGUAUGAAGCCGAAGUGUACUAAUAGACCGUCGGCUUGACC